AGAGUUUGAUCCUGGCUCAGGACGAACGCUUGCGGCGUGCCUAAGAAAUGCAAGUCGAACGGACAGGGACUUCGGUUUCUGUCAGUGGCGAACGGUCGCGUAACACGUAGGCAACCUGCCUCGAAGUGGGGGACAACAGUCCGAAAGGGCUGCUAAUACCGCAUGUGAUCACGGACUCGCAUGAGUUUGUGUUCAAAGGGUCUUUCGGGACUCGCUUUGAGAUGGGCUUGCGGCCUAUCAGCUUGUUGGUAAGGUAAUGGCUUACCAAGGCGAUGACGGGUAGCUGGUCUGAGAGGAUGAUCAGCCACACUGGGACUGAGACACGGCCCAGACUCCUACGGGAGGCAGCAGUCGGGAAUCUUGCGCAAUGGGCGAAAGCCUGACGCAGCAACACCGUGUGAGCGACGAAGGCCUUCGGGUCGUAAAGCUCUGUUGUUGGGGACGAAGGGUUAGGGGUUAAUAGCCCCGAGCCUGACGGUACCCUUCGAGGAAGCCCCGGCUAACUACGUGCCAGCAGCCGCGGUAAUACGUAGGGGGCGAGCGUUGUCCGGAAUUAUUGGGCGUAAAGAGCGUGUAGGCGGUUCGGUAAGUCUGCCGUGAAAACCCAGGGCUCAACCCUGGGCGUGCGGUGGAUACUGCCGGGCUAGAGGGUGGUAGAGGCGAGUGGAAUUCCCGGUGUAGCGGUGAAAUGCGCAGAUAUCGGGAGGAACACCAGUAGCGAAGGCGGCUCGCUGGGCCACACCUGACGCUGAGACGCGAAAGCGUGGGGAGCAAACAGGAUUAGAUACCCCGGUAGUCC
rnacentral:rRNA from 1 species